GAUGAACGCUGACAGAAUGCUUAACACAUGCAAGUCAACUUGAACUUCGGUUUGGGUGGCGGACGGGUGAGUAACGCGUAAAGAACUUGCCUCACAGAUAGGGACAACAUUUGGAAACGAAUGCUAAUACCUGAUAUUAUGAUUUUAGGGCAUCCUAGAAUUAUGAAAGCUAUAUGCGCUGUGAGAGAGCUUUGCGUCCCAUUAGCUAGUUGGAGAGGUAACGGCUCACCAAGGCGAUGAUGGGUAGCCGGCCUGAGAGGGUGAUCGGCCACAAGGGGACUGAGACACGGCCCUUACUCCUACGGGAGGCAGCAGUGGGGAAUAUUGGACAAUGGACCAAGAGUCUGAUCCAGCAAUUCUGUGUGCACGAUGAAGUUUUUCGGAAUGUAAAGUGCUUUCAGUUGGGAAGAAAAAAAUGACGGUACCAACAGAAGAAGUGACGGCUAAAUACGUGCCAGCAGCCGCGGUAAUACGUAUGUCACAAGCGUUAUCCGGAUUUAUUGGGCGUAAAGCGCGUCUAAGUGGUUAUAUAAGUCUGAUGUGAAAAUGCAGGGCUCAACUCUGUAUUGCGUUGGAAACUGUGUAACUAGAGUACUGGAGAGGUAAGCGGAACUACAAGUGUAGAGGUGAAAUUCGUAGAUAUUUGUAGGAAUGCCGAUGGGGAAGCCAGCUUACUGGACAGAUACUGACGCUGAAGCGCGAAAGCGUGGGUAGCAAACAGG
rnacentral:rRNA from 1 species